UUAUUGCCUACAGGAAGGCUCGUAAUUUGAAUAAGGACAACAUGACCACGCCAUUUAGGGAAAUGUAUUAGUAGUUCUCGAAAUGCGCGUAGUUUGUGAGUGACACCACAAGCUUUAGUUAAUUGGUCGCGCCCUACAAUGAGCUUUUUAUCAGAGGGAUAAAGCGAUUUGAGUUGUUGAAUCUUUAAGCUGACAGGCUUACUGUUACAACGGGAAUAGACACGUGGAACAUCAAUGCUCACAUGUGAAGAGAAAACUACCACGCGGAAUCCAUCAGAAGUAUCUAUAUGUGUGGAAGUGGUUUCUAACCCAAGAACAUUUGAACAAGUACUCAAAAAAUGCCUAGUGUAUGAGUCG